GUCAGAGCAUCCUACGGGUAGGCUAGGCUAGUGGGGGAAUAUUGUCACAAUGGGUCGCAAGCCUGAUGCAGCCAUUGCCGCGUGUAUUGAAGAAGGCCUUCGGGUUGUAAAGUACUUUCAGCAGUGAGGAAGGUGGGUAUGUUAAUAGCAUACUCAUUUUGACGUUAGCUGCAGAAGAAGCACCGGCUAACUCCGUGCCAGCAGCCGCGGUAAUACGGAGGGUGCGAGCGUUAAUCGGAAUUACUGGGCGUAAAGCGCAUGCAGGUGGUUUGUUAAGUCAGAUGUGAAAGCCCGGGGCUCAACCUCGGAAUUGCAUUUGAAACUGGCAAACUAGAGUACUGUAGGAGGGGGUAGAAUUUCAGGUGUAGCGUGAAAAUGCGUAGAGAUCUGAAGGAAUACCGGUGGCGAAGGCGGCCCCCUGGACAGAUACUGACACUCAGAUGCGAAAGCGUGGGUAGCAAACAGGAUUAGAUACCCCUGGUAG
rnacentral:rRNA from 1 species